rnacentral:rRNA from 1 species
UACGGGGGGGGCAAGCGUUGUUCGGAAUUACUGGGCGUAAAGGGCUCGUAGGUGGCCAACUAAGUCAGACGUGAAAUCCCUCGGCUUAACCGGGGAACUGCGUCUGAUACUGGAUGGCUUGAGAUCGGGAGAGGGAUGCGGAAUUCCAGGUGUAGCGGUGAAAUGCGUAGAUAUCUGGAGGAACACCGGUGGCGAAGGCGGCAUCCUGGACCAACACUGACACUGAGGAGCGAAAGCCAGGGGAGCAAACGGG